GAGCGGCCGCGCGGAAGGAGCUGGAGACGGGCGUAGCUGCGGUCGCGCCGAGGAAGAAGGAUGUGAGCACACGUAUGCUGAACAUAUGGCUGCUUGAACUUUGGCCUGUCGCUGUG
rnacentral:sRNA from 1 species